rnacentral:rRNA from 1 species
UACGGGGGGGGUAAGCGUUGUUCGGAAUUACUGGGCGUAAAGGGCUCGUAGGCGGCCAACUAAGUCGGACGUGAAAUCCCUCAGCUUAACUGGGGAACUGCGUCCGAUACUGGAUGGCUUGGAUUUGGGAGAGGGAUGCGGAAUUCCUGGUGUAGCGGUGAAAUGCGCAGAUAUCAGGAAGAACACCGAUGGCGAAGGCAGUUCUCUGGGACGGUACUGACGCUGAGACGCGAAAGCGUGGGGAGCGAACAGG